rnacentral:lncRNA from 1 species
CACCGGUGCCCACGAAUUCUCCAGAAGGUACCGGCCGUGCCCUGUCUACUACCUCCAGUCCGAGCUAGCUCCCUUCUCUUCUUCCCAUGGCGGCUGUCGUCGAGUUCCCUGCGCAAGCGUCGCGCGCAGCCGCGUCUUCAAGCCCGGGUCUUCUUCCUCCCUUGCUCGCCCUGGGUCCUGCUCCCUGCGCCGCUUCUCUACCGGCCGAGCUCCUUUGCAGCUCCAGCGCCGGCCAGAGCUCCCCUGCGUGCCGUGUGCCCAUCUCCAUAGCGCGCAGCUCCCCACCUCCAUGGCCGCCGCGCUCCUCCCUGCCCCAGCCCGGCGUUUCUCUGGCCGACCGAGCUCCCUCGCCAUGGAGUUCCCGACGCUCUGCCCAGCCCCAGCGCUUGGCUUCCAUCCUAGCCGCGCCCUACUCGGCUUCUCCGGUGCCGGCCGCCGCUCCAAGUCGCCGUUCCAGCCGACCUCAUUACUCGUUGCUCCUGAUGGCUGAUUGGACCUUGUAAUGUUGCGACAACGACACGCAAUGGUGAUUUCCUUUCUCUGCUGCUGUCUGUACGGUGCUCGGGAUAUUUCUAUUCAUUAUUGUCUUUGCUUCUCUAGCCGCCCGUUAGAUGCUCGAUACAACGCCUGAACCGGAAACCAUCGCUGUUCCUGUGUUCAUCACACCAGGUUGGUCGUGGCAAGCUGAUUGAUUGCUUGUGUAGUUGGGUUGAUGACUGGCCUAGGUUUCCAGAUUUUGUUGCACGUCUUAUUGAGUUAUUGAAUUAAUAUAUUAAAGCGUAAUAACUAGUUUUAGUUUCAAUUAACAUUAGCAAAGUGUAGUGUAUGCAUCGGGUGUUCUAGUGGAUGUAUUAGUCUAGUGUUAGUAAAUUGGUUUGUGCGAUGUGAAUGAAAUUGUUUUCAGGCGUGUGUCUUAAAAUUUACAUAGGUUGGGGUUAGUUCUAUGCUGUAGUGGUCAUAGUACUUGAUAUUUACUAACCGAGUUUAGGUUGAAUGGAGGUAUAUGCAUAGUGUCAUUAGAGUAGUUCUUCAUUUGCGAUAUGAACUUUAGGUUUAAGAUGAGAACUCAUACAAAGUGAUUGUGUGCAUGAUUAUGAAGUAGACCAAUCUAUUUAUGUGAUUAAGUAGGUGGUUUUAGCUCUAAUCAAAGAUAAGGUGUUAGAAUAUUAUAAGUGUCAAGAACAUGAUAAUUGGAGAAGCUAAAUAGAAACUGAGUUAGGAUUCUUGCUGUUGGGCUGCAAGUAUAGUUUUAGUUAUGCAGCAAAUUUAGUGAAGCAAAUCAUGUUUUUUGUGAAAGUGUUAUAUAUAAAGAUUGUAGUUAACUUCUUUAUCUAGCUUGUCUUAAAAUUUCAAGACCAUAGGCCCAAUAAUCUGAAAGUUAUGCUUCUCCUAAGUUCAGUUUCAGAAUCUGUCCAGAUUCUGUACAGAUUUCGAAAAUGACCUUGCUUGCCCAAGUUAAACUGAGAAUCAGCUCUUAGUAAUUAUAGGAGAAUUGCAGUACUUUGCUUAAACUUUCCAACAAAUUUUGGAGCACCCUUUUUGGUGGUCUAGAGACCAAGUUACAGCUGUUUGAACUGUAGAGUCUGAAUCUGUCCAAAUCUGGACAGCAAUGUUUAUUUGUAUUAACUGACCUUGAUACACAUUGAAUCACCUUGAGAUGUGUAUAAAUGAAUUGUAGACAGUUCGUUUAGCUUUCUAAAAAGUCUAGGAUCACCUGAUUUGGAUUUCUGAAACUCCAGUGGAUUUUUGAAGUGAAGAGCCGAAAUCUGUCCAAAUCUGGACAGAAAUUGUGUUUAGUACUGUUUGACAUUUUUAAAUGUCGAAUUUCAUUGUGAUGACAAUACCAAACUUGUAGAGGACUUUAUAAGCUUUCUAAAAAGUCUUAGUUUACUAUUUUUGGAUGAAUAUUGUGUAAGUUAUGAAUAAAACAACUAGCUGCUGUUCUGCUGUCCAAAUUCAGCAAGUCUGAAAUGAUUGCUUGGAGUUUUUUUUGUGUCCAAAUUCAGCAAGUAUGAAAUGAUUGUUUGGAGUUUCUUUUGUGUGGGUAACUAGAUGUGGUUAGUUCUUGACUUGAUUAAAGGAGUAUUAUAGUUGCAUAUGUUUGUUUCUAUUGAAAUUUGAAAACCAUCGAUGGGUAGUGCACAUAAGUGUUUUAAGUAUUUAAGUUGUUAUGAAUAUAAUCUCGUAGAAUUGUAUGUUGUUUGGUACGUUUAUUCACUCGAUCAGAUAGUGUGAUGCUCCAUUUAAUUAGUGUGAUUCUAAUUGUCUAGAAAAGUGGUUUAGAAAAUUAAUUAGAUUGCUUCUAUCCUUAGUCUAAGUUUAAUUAGACCUCCGAUGAUAUAUUUUAACUAUAGGUGAUAGUGUGUGUUUAUAAUUUAUUCUUGCUUGAUAAUAGUAUUAGAUCCAAUUAAACAGGAGAAACACGAGUAUUGUAGUUAGUGUAUAGUUUACUAUUUCGUGAUGUUUGCAUUAGGUCCUGUUAAUCUAGAAAGGCGUAAUUAUUGCAUUUAGCCAUAUGUCGAUAACUAGCCGUUGCUGAUGAAGUGUUGUAAUGUCUCGUCAUUAAGUGUUUAAUUCAUUUCUGUGACAAAUUAUUUAGUCUUGCUAUUACUUCUCAUAUUCAAUCCUGUACAUCAUGUGUUUCAAUUAGGUGCGCUAGUUGAUCACGUGAUGCGAAAGUCAAGCUGAGUCGACCACGAGAUGCUGUUAAGCGUGUGUUUCUUCGCAAGGGAUACUGAUGAAUGAACUUGAAGAUUUGCAUGAUCGGAUCAAGCGCUAGGAUGUGAGAUGCUCGCCAAGUGGACGUCAUCUAACAACACUAACCUAGUGUUAUCUCAGGCAAGCCCCGGUGCAUUUGCCACCUCCUUGUUGUUUUAAAACUUUUAUCACUUAUAUGCUGCAUUAGGUGAUAGGAGUUGAGUGAUGAAACAAUUGAUGUAUUGCCAUUCCUUGGAAUUUGAUUAUCCUCCUUGAUACCUGUUUUAUAAAAAUAACUAAUGAGGCUUAGCCCUGCCUAGAAAAUUAAAACUUGUUCCUUUUUAAAAGAAUAUUGUGUAACACUGGAUAUGGGUUUUAUGAAAAAGAAACUUGCAGUAAUGAAGGCAUCACUCGCGAUGAUGAAUUCAUUAUUCAAGUAUUGUACCUCUGUCAGGUACAUGGUUUGGGUGUUAAAUAAUAAGAUGAGACUAGACGUUGAGCAGGAAAGGUCGUCCGUCUGUGUCGCUUAAGGACCGUUCUGAUUGUUGGCCUGCUGAUCUAGGACCCUUUAACUGGCCACAUGCCUCAUCAUGGGUAAGCUUUGCCUCGGUCGGACCAAUACCAGAACAGCUCGCACGCACUGGGAGUGGAGAGAUGGCGAGAGUAGCUUGUACCCUCCGUGGCAAGAGACUGGAAGGUGGGGUGCUGUACUCUCGGAAACAUGGCGGGCACCAUGGCGAGAGUAACGUGUACCAACCAGGCCAACGGCUGGACGGUGGAGUGCUGUGCUCUCGGGUCGCGUGAACCCGUUCUGGUCUUGAGAAACCCGGUGGCGAGUUGACAUAUGCAAGGGUUAAGUGCUACAUAUGUCGUGUGGUUGGAGAUCCCCAGCUGGGUAUUAAUCGAUUCGGAUCGCCGAACUUCUCGGAUAUGAAGACUGGAUCUUCGACCUUCAGCGUAGAUAACAAGUGAAACUAAAGAUGCUAAAAUAAAGCUAGUGUAGGACAAGUGAAUGCUCUAGAUUAGGAAAAAUCUAGAUUCAGGAAAAGUACUUAACUGGUGAAGUAAAAGCUUCGCAUAAGGAUCCACUACUAGUAAGCUUUUCUGCAAAAAUGAGUCUUUGAAACUUGAUGAGCCUUACCUUGAAUCCUUUUAAAUCCAGCAACCCUUGAGAGUCUUUUCUUUAGUCGGGUAAGUCUUGCUGAGUAAUUGUGUACUCAGAGUUUUAUUCCCUGUUGUUUUUCAGGUUAUAUUUUUGUUCUGUUGUGGAUGGUGCUAAGUGCCGGUGGGCUCGACCUUCUUAUAUAAGUAUAUCCCAUCUUUAGCUUCUUUAUUGAGGACUGUCACUUAAGCUAGCAUGUAUUUUAAAACUUAUAAAUGUUUUAUACAUUCAAAUUGUAAUAUUUUGAAUCAAAUUCUCUUGUAAUCACUCCGAUGAUAUAUUGUAAUAUGGUUAUAACUUGUAAAUGUUGUAACUUGUAAUCAUUUUGUAAUAAAGAAUUUAUUUUCGCUGCAAGUGUUUGUAUGUGAGUUGUAUUUACUUAAUCCUGCGAUCUUGGCGGUAAGUCGUUUAUCCGGGGUCGUCGGGGCACUCGGACAGAUCCUGAUAAG